rnacentral:rRNA from 1 species
GACGAACGCUGGCGGCGUGCUUAACACAUGCAAGUCGAACGGAAAGGCCCUGCGUUUGUGGGGUGCUCGAGUGGCGAACGGGUGAGUAACACGUGAGUAACCUGCCCUUGACUUUGGGAUAACUUCAGGAAACUGGGGCGAAUACCGGAUAGGAGCUCCUGCUGCAUGGUGGGGGUUGGAAAGUUUCGGCUGUUGGGGAUGGACUCGCGGCUUAUCCGCUUGUUGGUGGGGUAGUGGCUUACCAAGGCUUUGACGGGUAGCCGGCCUGAGAGGGUGACCGGCCACAUUGGGACUGAGAGACGGCUCAGACUGCUACGGGCGGCAGCAGUGGGGAAUAUUGCACAAUGGGCGGAAGCGUGAUGCAGCAACGCCGCGUGCGGGAUGACGGCCUUCGGGUUGUAAACAGAUUUCGCCUGUGACGAAGAGUGAGUGACGGUAAUGGGUAAAGAAGCACCGGCUAACUACGUG